UGGCAAUCUGCAAAGACAUGACCCAGAUAACCUUGGGAGAAAUUCAUCAAAUGACGCUAGCUACUCUUGAAAAAAUAUGUGAUCAGCAGCACUUUUUGAGUGACAUGCUAGACAAUAAUAAGUCUCUGCGAAAAAUGUACAGAAAAUCUUAUCUCGCAAUCAAAUGCAAAGAAAAUAACUGCACUUGCAAAUCCAAAAAAAAGAAGCAUCUGAAGCAUUACAGAAUCAAUAUCAACAAGA
rnacentral:misc_RNA from 1 species